AAUGAACGCUGGCGGCAGGCUUAACACAUGCAAGUCGAGCGCAGCGCAAGGGGGGAGGUCGACGGGUGAGUACAGCGUGGGAAUCUACCCGUCCCUGCGGGUUAACGCAGGGUAACGUGCCUCAAUACCGGGUACGACAGUCGGGAACAAGAUCUAAUGGCAUAGGAUGGGCCAGCGUUGGAUUAGCUGGUUGGUGGGGUAAAGGCCUACCAAGGCGACGAUCCAUAGCGGUUCUGAGAGGAUGAUCAGCCACACUGGGACUGAGACACGGCCCAAAAUCCUACGGGAGGCAGCAGUGGGGAAUAUUGGACAAUGGGGGAAAGCCUGAUCCAGCCAUGCCGCGUGAGUGAUGAAGGCCCUAGGGAUGUAAAGCUCUUUCACCAGGGAAGAUAAUGACGGUAACCGAAGAAGAAGCCCCGGCUAACUUCGUGCCAGCAGCCGCCGUAAAAC
rnacentral:rRNA from 1 species